UACAUGGGGUGCAAACGUUGCUCGGAAUUAUUGGGCGUAAAGCGCACGUAGGUGGUCUGUUAUGUCAGAUGUGAAAGCCCUCGGCUUAACUGAGGAAGUGCACCUGAAACUGGCAGGCUUGAGUACGAAAGAGGGUCGCGGAAUUCCCGGUGUAGAGGUGAAAUUCGUAGAUAUCGGGAGGAACACCGGUGGCGAAGGCGGCUUCCUGGACCGAUACUGACGCUGAGGCGCGAAAGCUAGGGGAGCAAACGGG
rnacentral:rRNA from 1 species